ACCAGGUCCCAGAAGAACACCUUCCCGUCCUCGGAGCAGCUGACCACGUGCGUGUCGCGCUCGCUCAGGCAGCAGUCCAGCUUGUACUCCUGGUUCUUAUGGCCCGUGUACCUGGGUCUCCCCUGUGUCCUUGUCUAGAAGCCGCAACGUGGAGUCCAGGCUGGACACCAGGGUGCACUGCCCGUCCCGGCUGAAGCAGGUGCAGGUCAUAGCGCCUUACCCGGCCAUCUACGGAGCUGCAAGAGAGGAUGGAUCCAGCUGAAGCAUCACAGGGGCCAGCAGGUCCAGGGCUCCAGCUUUGGUGUUCCUGUACCCUCUCACCUGGCCAGGGCCCUGAGAGCAAGGCUGGGUGCCUGCCCUUCCUGGGCACCCUUCACUGUCAUGUCAUGUUCAGGACUGGCCACAGAAAACAUGCAUUGAAGGGAAUUCAUGAGUGGAAUUCUGAGGCACUGGCUUUGAGACUCAGCCCCAGGGGCCAAUCAGGUCCCACUGCAUCUGUUUCUGAUUUAUACUGAGCUCCUUCUCUGGGCUACACCCUGUGUGGGAGCUUGGGACACAGCUGCUACCAAGCCAGGAGCACUUGCUGCCAACGUGGAGCCUUGCUGACUGAGGGUAAUCAGGUCCCCGAGGAGGUGACGUUUGAAUUGGUACUUAAAGAUGAGAAGGAGCCGGCCAUAUGCAGUCCAAGGGGGGAUGUGUGGGAACUGGGUAGGCCACCACGCCAUGCAGCCCAAAUGCCCCCAGUGGUGGUAUCGGCACUCCCUCAGGUUGUGGCAACAUUUGGGCAGCCCUGCAUGGGAAUAUUUUUUUUUUAAUUGUCUCCUGCAGGUAGAACAUCAACUCUAUGUAAGUGGGGUUUUUCCUUGUUUUCCUAUCUUUUCACUCCUGUAUGCUCAUUGACUGAAAACGUGACCUGCAGGUGGUGCUCAAACACACUCGGAAUAAGUAGUAGAAGGGUAGCCCAGGCAGAGGAAGAGCAAUUGCAAAAGUCGGUCCUGGGGUGGGAGCAUGUGUGGCAUAUUUAACAGAAAUGAGCCUGGGAAUGAAUAAAAACUGAGAGCACAACAGA